rnacentral:rRNA from 1 species
GACGAACGCUGGCGGCGUGCCUAAUACAUGCAAGUCGAGCGGACCAAAGGGAGCUUGCUCCUGGAGGUUAGCGGCGAACGGGUGAGUAACACGUGGGCAACCUGCCUGUAAGACUGGGAUAACAUCGAGAAAUCGGUGCUAAUACCGGAUAAUAAAAAGAACUGCAUGGUUCUUUUUUGAAAGAUGGUUUCGGCUAUCACUUACAGAUGGGCCCGCGGCGCAUUAGCUAGUUGGUGAGGUAACGGCUCACCAAGGCGACGAUGCGUAGCCGACCUGAGAGGGUGAUCGGCCACACUGGGACUGAGACACGGCCCAGACUCCUACGGGAGGCAGCAGUAGGGAAUCUUCCGCAAUGGACGAAAGUCUGACGGAGCAACGCCGCGUGAGUGAUGAAGGUUUUCGGAUCGUAAAACUCUGUUGUUAGGGAAGAACAAGUGCCGUUCGAAAGGGCGGCACCUUGACGGUACCUAACGAGAAAGCCACGGCUAACUACGUGCCAGCAGCCGCGGUAAAGUA